AAUUACAGAGCUUCCUUAUAUAGAACUAUCGAAUUUUCUUUUUCUUUAUUCCCAAUCUCUAAGUCAUUUUGACAGAGAUCUUCCUUUUUUAGCUAGUUAAAAUGUCUAUAAACUAAUAAUGACAAUUAAGUUUUGAUUACAGGAGGACUUCGUAUAUAAAUUUUCUCGCUUUCCCUUCGUCAGGCUCUGUUCAGGAAAUUUGAUUUAGAAGACCAGCCAUGUGUGUAUCCAGAAAAUUUCCGUUCCUUUCCGUUUUCCUCCUCUUUCUUGUUUUCACCACCCUUUGUUUAUCCCCUACCGUCCGGUCUGAUUUGGAUCCUGUGGGGGAAGUUCUCGACCAGACGAAAAAUGUGACCCAAAGCGCCGCCGACCACACCAAAAGCAUCAUCGAUGGCACAACUUCCACCCUCAAUGACACUAAGAAUGCAGCUGAAGAUGCAAUUCACGGGACGACAACCGCCGUCAACGACACCAAAAACGCUGCAGAAAACGUCGUCAAUGACACAAAAAAUGCCUAUCAUGACGUUGAAAACGUGACGAAUGACGUGAAAGGCAGUGGAGCAGCGGCAUCCCAUACCCCACCGGCCGGUCACAAGGGACGGAUAAUUGCCAUGCUUCUUGUUGUUGGAUUUUUUUUAAAAAAACCAUAGAUGAAAUUGGUUGUGCGUGUACGUUAAUGGCUUUUGAAUUUCAUAGAAUUAAUUUGUUAUUAUUUCCAGGGAUUUUUAUUGUCAUGAUCUUUCAAGAUUUUGUCUCGAUUGAAGGGGACUUCGUUGAAUUUUGAUGGGAUUCCACUGGUUUCAAUUUUUCCUCAAAUAUAAAUAAAAAGAAUUCCGGUUUUUGAUUUCUUUUAAA
rnacentral:misc_RNA from 1 species